AACUUUUCAGCUAGAGUUUGAUAGAGGAAAGCAGAAUUUCUAGUGUAGAGGUGAAAUUCGUAGAUAUUAGAAAGAAUACCAAUUGCGAAGGCAGCUUUCUGGAUCAUUACUGACACUGAGGAACGAAAGCAUGGGUAGCGAAGAGGAUUAGAUACCCUCGUAGUCCAUGCCGUAAACGAUGUGUGUUAGACGUUGGAAAUUUAUUUUCAGUGUCGCAGCGAAAGCGAUAAACACACCGCCUGGGGAGUACGACCGCAAGGUUAAAACUCAAAUGAAUUGACGGGGACCCGCACAAGUAGUGGAGCAUGUGGUUUAAUUCGAAGAUACGCGCAGAACCUUACCAACACUUGACAUGUUCGUCGCGACUUUAAGAGAUUAAAGUUUUCGGUUCGGCCGGACGAAACACAGGUGCUGCAUGGCUGUCGUCAGCUCGUGUCGUGAGAUGUUGGGUUAAGUCCCGCAACGAGCGCAACCCUCACUUUUAGUUGCCAUCAUUUAGUUGGGCACUCUGAAAGAACUGCCAGUGAUAAGCUGGAGGAAGGUGGGGAUGACGUCAAGUCCUCAUGGCCCUUACGUGUUGGGCUACACACGUGCUACAAUGGUAUCUACAACAGGAAGCAAAACGGCGACGUUAAGCAAAUCCUUAAAAGAUACCUCAGUUCGGAUUGCACUCUGCAACUCGAGUGCAUGAAGCUGGAAUUACUAGUAAUCGUGGAUCAGCGUGCCACGGUGAAUGCGUUCCCGGGUCUUGUACACACCGCCCGUCACACCAUGGGAGUUGGUUCUACCUUAAGGCAAGGUUUCAAACCCUUGACCACGGUAUAGUCAGCGACUGGGGUGAAGUCGUAACAAGGUAGCCGUA
rnacentral:rRNA from 1 species